GACGAACGCUGGCGGUGUGCCUCACACAUGCAAGUCGAGCGGACGAAGAUUGAAGCUUGCUUCAGUCCAAGUUAGCGGCGGACGGGUGAGUAACACGUAGGAAUCUGCCUUCAGGCGGGGGACAACGGAACGAAAGUUGCGCUAAUACCCCAUAUGCGAGUAAUCGUAAAAGGAGCAAUCCACCGGAAGAUGAGCCUGCGUCCGAUUAGCUAGUUGGUAGGGUAAAAGCCUACCAAGGCUACGAUCGGUAGUUGGUCUGAGAGGAUGAUCAGCCACAAUGGGACUGAGACACGGUCCAUACUCCUACGGGAGGCAGCAGUGGGGAAUUUUACGCAAUGGGCGAAAGCCUGACGUAGCGACACCGCGUGAGCGAAGAAGCCUUUUGGGGUGUAAAGCUCUGUCAGCUGGAACGAACACAAUGACGGUACCAGCAGAGGAAGCAUCGGCUAACUACGUG
rnacentral:rRNA from 1 species